ACUGAAAAGUUUAAAGGGCCGCGGUAUCUGAACCGUGCUAAGGUAGCAUAAUAAAUAGUCUUUUAAUUGAGGUCUAGUAUGAAUGGUCGGACAUGAAGUAAGCUGUUUUAGUUAUCUAACUUGAAUUUUACCUUUAAGUGAAAAGGCUUAAAUUAGAUGGUGGGACGAUAAGACCCUAUAAAGCUUUACAUUUUACUUAUCAGUUGAAGAAAUUAUGGUUUUCUAUUCUAGUAUAGUGUAAAUGUUUCGUUGGGGCGACGAGAAUAUAAAAUAAUAACUGUUUUUAUUUUUAAAAUAGAUUUUUUUAGGAGAGUUGAUCCUUUUUAGAGAUUAUAAGAUUUAAGUUACUUUAGGGAUAACAGCGUGAUUUUUCUUGAGAGUUCAUAUCGACAGAUAUAGUUGCGACCUCGAUGUUGAAUUAAGAUACCCCCCAGGUGUAGCAGUUUUGGAGGUAGGUCUGUUCGACCUUUAAAAUCUUA
rnacentral:rRNA from 1 species